AUUCUUUUAGUUUAAUGGCAAAACAACUUUCUUCUAAAAAGUUUAUUUUGGUUCAACUCCAAAAAAGAAUA
rnacentral:tRNA from 1 species